GAUGAACGCUGGCGGCGUGCUUAACACAUGCAAGUCGAACGGUGAACGAGGGAGCUUGCUCCCUCCGGAUCAGUGGCGAACGGGUGAGUAACACGUGAGCAAUCUGCCCUGGACUCUGGGAUAAGCGUUGGACACUACGUCUAAUACCGGAUACGAUACGCGAAGACAUAUUCAGCGUCUGGAAAGAACUUCGGUCCAGGAGUAGCUCGCGGACUAUCAGGUAGUUGGUGAGGUAACGGCUCACCAAGCCUACGAGGGGUAGCCGGCCUGAGAGAGUGACCGGCCAGAUUGGGGCUGAGACAUGGCCCAGACUCCUACGGGAGGCAGCAGUGGGGAAUAUUGCACAAUGGGCGCAAGCCUGAUGCAGCAACGGCGCGUGAGGGACGACGGCCUUCGGGUUGUAAACAUCUUUUAGAAGGGAAGAAGCGAAAGUGACGGUACCUGCAGAAAAAGCACCGGCUAACUACGUGCCAGCCGCCGCCGUAAAAC
rnacentral:rRNA from 1 species